GAAACCCUUGUCAAUAUGUGAUAAGUGAAUGAGAUUGAAACGAAGCGUUAAAAAACCCAAACGAAGUCGGAGAACAAGACAAGCCCUAAUCCAGAGUCGAGAGAGAAGAUGAUGAAGAAGAAGAAGUAGUCACUGGUCAGAAUCGAGGUCGGUGGAAGCUUCGUCGUCAGUUAUUGAUGUUCCUGUCAGGUUAUUAUGCGUAUUCAGAGUUUGAGUUUAUUCACGAGGCUUUGUACAUGCUAGACACUCGCCCCACUCUGCAUUUCCUUAGCUGCAAGAGUGGGAAAAGAAUUAUAGCUUGCGUACACCAUGGCCGUGACUGAGCAGUGGGAUGUUUAUAGCUUUGGGGUGGUGGUUCUAGAAACAAUAAUGGGAAGGUAUCCAAGCGAACUACUUUGUUCAGUGUCAUCAUCAUCUGCUCAAAAUAGUCUGCUGAAGGACCUAUUAGAUCCCUGCCUGUUGUCUGCUGUCAAUCAACUGAUUGCUCAAAAUUUGGUUCUCUUAGCAACAAUGGCAAUGGCAUGCUUAAGUCCCAAUCCGAGAUCUCAGCCAACAAUGCUGCAGGUGUCUUGAGUGUUUCUUGUUCACAGACCGCUGUUACCAAAGCCUCUGCAGGCAUUACAGUGUGGGAGCUGAUGAAUCAGGAGAUAUAUAAUUCCAUGGACGAAAAUUAGAACUAGCUUACACAAUGGUUGCAACUGAGAAGAGCGAUGUUUAUAGCUUUGGAAUGGUGGCGCUAGAAACGAGCGUGGGAAGGCAUCCAAAAGAAUUCCUCUCAUUACUGGCAUCGACCUCUGCUCAAAAUAUAAUGUUAAAUGAUGUAUUAGACCCGCGUCUUUUGCCUCCAGUUGAUCCGCUAAUUGCAGGGAAUGUUGUCCUUGUUGCUGCACUGGCAUUCGCAUGCUUGCAUUCUGAACCAAGAUCUCGGCCAACAAUGCUACACGUUUCUCAAAAGCUUCUCCCUCACAGCAACAGGAGGCCUCUAGCUACACUUCUUCAUUCAAUUUCACUAUCUGAGUUACGAAAUCAAGAAAUGGAUUUUAUCCAAUAAACUAAUAAAGUAAAAAUGAUGAAUAAUGAUUUAGAGGAUGGCUAGUGUCAAUCGUUAUAACCAUUAUGUAUAUGUAUAUAAACAUUGUUAUAUCAAAGUUAAUGAUUAAUUUUGAUUUUGUGAUUUGUUAUA